UCAGAACGAACGCUGGCGGCGCGUCUUAAGCAUGCAAGUCGAACGGCAAGCUACCUCGGGUAGCCUAGAGUGGCGGACUGGUGAGUAACACGUGGGUGACGAUGCCUUCAGGACUGGAAUAGCCUGCAGGAAAUGCAGGGUAAUGCCGGAUACGGCGCAGGACGUUAGGGGUCCUGCAAGAAAGGAGCAUUUGCUCCGCCGGGAGAUUGGCCCGCGGCCCAUUAGCUAGUUGGUGAGGUAAAGGCCCACCAAGGCAAUGAUGGGUAUCCGGCCUGAGAGGGUGAUCGGACACAUUGGGACUGAGAUACGGCCCAGACUCCUACGGGAGGCAGCAGCUAAGAAUAUUCCGCAAUGGAGGAAACUCUGACGGAGCGACGCCGCGUGGAAUGAUUGAAGGCCGAAAGGUUGUAAAAUCCUUUUGAACCGGAAGAAUAAGCGCAGGAGGGAAUGCCUGCGUGGUGACGGUACGGUUCGAAUAAGCAACGGCUAAUUACGUGCCAGCCGCUGC
rnacentral:rRNA from 1 species